rnacentral:rRNA from 1 species
ACGAACGCUGGCGGCGUGCCUAAAACAUGCAAGUCGAACGAGACCUUCGGGUCUAGUGGCGAACGGCGGAGUAAUACGUGAACAACGUGCCCCUAAGUCUGGAACAAACGCAGAAAUGCCAUAAAUGCCGGAUGUGGUCAGGAAUGGGCAUCCAUACCUGAUUAAAGGAUUUUCGCUUAGGGAGCGGUUCACGGCCUAUCAGCUAGUUGGUGGGGUAAAGGCCUACCAAGGCGACGACGGGUAGCGGGUCUGAGAGGACGAUCCGCUCGAGUGGGACUGAGACACGGCCCACACACCUACGGGUGGCAGCAGUUGGGAAUCUUGCACAGUGGGGGAAACCCUGAUGCAGCGACGCCGCGUGGAGGAUGAAGGAUUUCGGUCUGUAAACUCCUUUUAUCGGGAAAGACUUAGGACGGUACCCGAUGAAUAAGCCCCGGCUAACUACGU